UUCCACUCAUCCCUGAGGGCACACUAUACUGGCAUACUCCUUUUAGCAAGACCUCCCACCCACUUGACACUUGGCAGCACUACAAUCUCAGGUGGAUUCUUUACCAGCUGAGCAACUGGGGAAGCCCACUGAGAAUAAGGAAUAUCACAAUUCAACAAGAAGACUUUGGCCCUUAUUGGCGAGCCAAACAGUUCAUAUACGGAACAAAGCAGCAUCAGGCAUGGCUAUUCUGCUAUUGACCUUCUUGAACUAAGACCCAGACACCCUGAACAAGAUUUAAAUUUCUAGAUCAAGGUUCUGACCUGAAUAAGAAGAUUUGAUGUCAAUAGUUUCCUAUGAUGCAAAUACAUCUCAUUUCUUUUUUCUUAAAGUCUGCCACUCCUGUGAGUUUUAACUGGAAGACAAUGUGUCCUCUGACAUCUACUAAUGGACAAUGAUCGCAGAUGAACGCAGGUAAAGAUGAAGCUCUAAGAAAAAACUGUCUAGUUCAGCUCCCAACUGAAGACAGCCACACGUUUUUUCCCCUUCUCCCUCCCCUCCCUGAGACAAUUUACAUGGAGUGCAAGUUCUUUUUGUACUCCUCCCAUCUGGUCACAAGAUUAUUAAAAA